GCAGGGCGUGGUGGCACACGCCUGUAAUCCCAGCAGCUCUGGAGGUUGAGGCAGGAGUAUCUUGAGUUCAAAACCACCCUCGGCAAAAGUGGAAGCACUAAGCAACUCAGUGAGACCCUGCCUCUA
rnacentral:sRNA from 1 species